GACAGAGGUGCCGAGCGUUAGGCGGAAUCACUGGGCUUAAAGCGUGUGUAGGCGGGCCGUUAAGUGUCUUGUGAAAUCCCCGGGCUUAACCUGGGAAUUGCAUUUGUGACUGCACGGCUAGAGUGUGUCAGAGGGGGGUAGAAUUCCACGUGUAGCAGUGAAAUGCGUAGAUAUGUGGAGGAAUACCGAUGGCGAAGGCAGCCCCCUGGGAUAACACUGACGCUCAUGCACGAAAGCGUGGGGAGCAAACAGG
rnacentral:rRNA from 1 species